rnacentral:rRNA from 1 species
GACAGCAGUAGCCGCGGUAAUACGAAGGGUGCAAGCGUUACUCGGAAUUACUGGGCGUAAAGCGUGCGUAGGUGGUGGUUUAAGUCCGUUGUGAAACCCCUGGGCUCAACCUGGGAAUUGCAGUGGAUACUGGGUCACUAGAGUGUGGUAGAGGAUAGUGGAAUUUCCGGUGUAGCAGUGAAAUGCGUAGAGAUCGGAAGGAACAUCUGUGGCGAAGGCGACUAUCUGGGCCAACACUGACACUGAGGCACGAAAGCGUGGGGAGCAAACAGGAUUAGAUACCCGCGUAGUCCCUGUCUCUUAUAC